rnacentral:rRNA from 1 species
UACGAAGGGGGCUAGCGUUGUUCGGAGUUACUGGGCGUAAAGCGUGCGCAGGCGGCUUCUCAAGUCAGGGGUGAAAGCCCAGAGCUCAACUCUGGAACUGCCUUUGAGACUGAGAGGCUUGAGUACGGGAGAGGUGAGUGGAAUUCCCAGUGUAGAGGUGAAAUUCGUAGAUAUUGGGAAGAACACCGGUGGCGAAGGCGGCUCACUGGCCCGAAACUGACGCUCAUGCACGACAGCGUGGGGAUCAAACAGG